UUUUAACAUAAUCGUCUUUGAUUUAUUUUUCAUUUUUUUAGGUUCGGACGAAUUUCGGGUUUUCUACACAGAUAUGAGCAAUUGAUGAGCAUACUCGAGACUCGAGAGUCGAGAUUUUAUUGAUUAACGUGAGCGCACAUAAAACCAGUAGAUGAAAUAAAAUAAAAUUAUACUAAAUGGGUAGCAAAACUCCCUCCGGGUGAGAGAGAGAGAGAGAGAGAGAGUAAAUAAAAAUGGGAAUCGAAGCCGGGGAGUCCUCCGGUGCCGGACGUCCCGAGACGAGCAGUGGUAGAGAAGAUGCCGGUCCAGCUACCACCCCAACCAGUACCUCCAACUCCGUACGCCGCCGGUUCUCGCUGGCGGCUCAGCCGGAGAUAAUGAGAGCGGCGCAGAAGGAUGACCAGUAUGCUUCUUUCGUCUACGAGGCCUGUCGUGACGCCUUUCGCCACUUAUUCGGUACAAGGGCAGCUAUAUCGUAUCAGAAUGAGACAAAGCUUUUGGGGCAGAUGCUUUAUUAUGUUUUAACAACAGGAGCAGGGCAACAAACAUUGGGAGAGGAAUACUGUGAUGUCACACAGGUUGCAGGAUUACAUGGGCUUCCUCCAACACCAGCAAGACGUGCACUUUUCAUUGUCUACCAGAGUGCAGUUCCCUACAUUGCUGAAAGAGUCAGCUCUAGAAUUGCUUCACGUAGCAUUGCCUUGACCGAAUCAGAGUCACUGUCUGAUGAUAUCCAUGGGGAUGCUUCUAGAAGCAUCCAUGGUCAACCCUCUGCAAGUCAACUCUCUUCUUCUCCUUCACCAAUAGUUUCAAUUUCACCUCUCUCAAGAUUCAAACAUAAAAUUACUUCCCUUUGGUUGCACACAGUUCAGAGAUGGCCUGUAGUGCUUCCAUUAGCCCGUGAGUUUUUGCAGCUGCUUCUUCGUGCUAACCUUAUGUUCUUCUAUUUUGAAGGUUUAUAUUAUCAUAUAUCAAAGCGUGCAGCAGGCAUUCGAUAUGUUUUUAUUGGGAAGCCCAUGAAUCAAAGACCCAGAUAUCAAAUAUUGGGCAUGUUUCUAUUGGUUCAGUUGUGUGUUAUUGCUGCUGAAGGAUUGAGGCGUAGCAACUUAGCAUCCAUCACAUCUUCUGUUCAGCAGACAUCUUUAAGCCUCCACCAAGCAUCUGCAGGGAGAGGUUUACCUGUUUUAAAUGAAGAAGGAAAUUUGAUCACUGGGGAUACUGAGAAAGUAUCGGACUCAUUCACAACCUCUGAGCAGUCUGGAUCAAGUGUGAUUAGCAAAUGUACACUUUGCCUUAGUAAUCGACAAAAUCCAACUGCAACUCCUUGUGGACACGUCUUUUGCUGGAAUUGCAUAAUGGAAUGGUGUAAUGAAAAGCCGGAAUGCCCUUUAUGUCGUUCUCCUCUAACUCAUUCAACCUUAGUUUGUUUGUACCAUUCAGAUUUUUAGCAUACACGGAAAAAAAGAAAAAGAAAAAUUACCAUCAAGGCUAAUGUUAUCGCUAAUUACCAGUCAUAUUGUACCACCUGGUUUUAGAUCCAAGGCUUUUUAAGUGAUUCUUGUGAGUUUGGAUCUCAAGGAAGAAGGAAGAGCAUAGAAGGAUCAAGAGGGGACUGAAGGACUCAAGUUUGGUUCAUCAUUUGCAGUCUUGGGAAGCCGGAGGGUUUUCGGAGCAGCAACAACAGCAAUCAGAUGAUUCCCGCACGGUUCAGCAGAUACGAGGUACCUCUUCAUCCAAGGGGAAGGAGUCGGCGGCGUAGCAUGGCAUCACACACACUCACACAUGAUUUCCGCACGGUGUUUUCUGGGAUUGUACUCUAAUAUGACAUUUGUUCAUGGUUGUGGGUUUCAAAUAUGAUACUUGGUUUCGAGAUGACGUGUUUAUACAAUAUUUUCUAAUGAAUGUUUUAUGAAUUAAUUAAUCGAAAAUGAAAUUUUUGGGCUUGAA